AACGAACGCUGGCGGCAUGCCUAACACAUGCAAGUCGAACGGGAUCCUAGCUUGCUAGGUGAGAGUGGCGGACGGGUGAGUAACACGUGGGAAUCUGCCUUUUGGCUCGGGAUAACCGCGGGAAACUGCGGCUAAUACCGAAUGCCCUCGUGAGAGGAAAGAUUUAUCGCCAGAAGAGGAGCCCGCGUCCGAUUAGGUAGUUGGUGGGGUAAAGGCCUACCAAGCCGACGAUCGGUAGCUGGUCUGAGAGGAUGAUCAGCCACACUGGGACUGAGAUACGGCCCAGACUCCUACGGGAGGCAGCAGUGGGGAAUAUUGGACAAUGGGGGCAACCCUGAUCCUGCAAUGCCGCGUGAGUGAUGAAGGCCUUAGGGUUGUAAAGCUCUUUUGCCAGGGAAGAUGAUGACUGUACCUGGAGAAUAAGCCCCGGCUAACUUCGUGCCAGCAGCCGCGGUAAU
rnacentral:rRNA from 1 species